rnacentral:rRNA from 1 species
CCGCGAGGUGGAGCAAAUCCCCAAAAGCCGUCCCAGUUCGGAUUGCAGGCUGAAACCCGCCUGUAUGAAGUUGGAAUCGCUAGUAAUCGCGGAUCAGCAUGCCGCGGUGAAUACGUUCCCGGGCCUUGUACACACCGCCCGUCACACCAUGAGAGUCGGGAACACCCGAAGUCCGUAGCCUAACAGCAAGUGGGGGCGCGGCCGAAGGUGGGUUCGAUAAUUGGGGUGAAGUCGUAACAAGGUACC